GGCGUAAGCGCGCGUAGGUGGUUUGUUAAGUUGGAUGUGAAAGCCCCGGCCUCAACCGGGGAACUGCAUCGAAAACUGGGGAGCUUGAGUACCGUAGAGGGUGGUGGAAUUCCCUGUGUAGCGGUGAAAUGCGUAGAUAUGGGAAGAAACACCAGUGGCAAAGGCGACCUCCUGGACUGAUACUGACUCUGAGGCGCGAAAGCGUGGGGAGCAAACAGGAUU
rnacentral:rRNA from 1 species